AGGGCAGCCAAGUCGUGAGGCGGAGCUAAUCCCUUAAAGCCAUUCUCAGUUCGGAUUGUAGGCUGAAACUCGCCUACAUGAAGCUGGAGUUACUAGUAAUCGCGGAUCAGAAUGCCGCGGUGAAUACGUUCCCGGGUCUUGUACACACCGCCCGUCACACCAUGGGAGCCGGGAAUGCCCGAAGUCAGCGGCCCAACCGCAAGGAGGGAGCUGCCGAAGGCAGGUCUGGUGACUGGGGUGAAGUCGUAACAAGGUACC
rnacentral:rRNA from 1 species